rnacentral:rRNA from 1 species
UACGGGGGGGGCAAGCGUGGUUCGGAAUUACUGGGCGUAAAGGGCUCGUAGGCGGCCAACUAAGUCAGACGUGAAAUCCCUCGGCUUAACCGGGGAACUGCGUCUGAUACUGGAUGGCUGGAGUUUGGGAGAGGGAUGCGGAAUUCCAGGUGUAGCGGUGAAAUGCGUAGAUAUCUGGAGGAACACCGGUGGCGAAGGCGGCAUCCUGGACCGACACUGACGCUGAGGAGCGAAAGCCAGGGGAGCGAACAGG